rnacentral:rRNA from 1 species
CCCUUAGAUGUCCUGGGCCGCACGCGCGCUACACUGAUGCAUUCAACGAGUCUACCUUGGCCGAGAGGCCUGGGCAACCUUUUAAACGUGCGUCGUGAUAGGGAUAGAUUAUUGCAAUUAUUAAUCUUGAACGAGGAAUUCCUAGUAAACGCAAAUCAUCAAUUUGCAUUGAUUACGUCCCUGCACUUUGUACACACCGCCCGUCGCACCUACCGAUUGAAUGGUCCGGUGAGGACUCGGGAUUUUUACCAGUUUCCUUCAUUGGGAAUUGGUGAGGAGAACUUGUCCAAACCUUAUCAUUUAGAGGAAGGUGAAGUCGUAACA